rnacentral:rRNA from 1 species
GACGAACGCUGGCGGCGUGCUUAACACAUGCAAGUCGAACGGAAAGGCCCCUUUGGGGGUACUCGAGUGGCGAACGGGUGCGUAACACGUGAGUAACCUGCCCUUGACUUCGGGAUAACUUCAGGAAACUGGGGCUAAUACCGGAUAGGAAUCCUUGCUGCAUGGUGGGGGUUGGAAAGCUUCGGCGGUUUUGGAUGGACUCGCGGCUUAUCAGCUUGUUGGUGGGGUAGUGGCCUACCAAGGCUUUGACGGGUAGCCGGCCUGAGAGGGCGACCGGCCACAUUGGGACUGAGAUACGGCCCAGACUCCUACGGGAGGCAGCAGUGGGGAAUAUUGCACAAUGGGCGGAAGCCUGAUGCAGCAACGCCGCGUGCGGGAUGACGGCCUUCGGGUUGUAAACCGCUUUCAGCAGGGGCGAAGCUUGUGGUGACGGUACCUGCAGAAGAAGCACCGGCUAACUACGUG